AACUCACGCAUGCACGGUUUUAAUAUAUAGAUAUUCAGCAUGUGAAUGACGUACGUUCAAACAUUUUCAAGCUGUGUAACAAUUCAUUUAAUUUUGCUGAUUUUCAGUUAUCCUCAUGAUUACAUGUCUUAAUGCAGUUCAGGCUAUAUAAUUGGUUGAAUUUACUGUCCACUCAUAACUAGAAGGGCGGAGCACAUUUUUAAAAUUUCUCCUCCCCUUUCCGCAACAACCAAUCACAGCUCUUAGAGGACUGUGUCAUACCAAGCACGGGGUCAACCCCGCCUCCUAACAAAGACAUAAGUUUGUCUGAUUUUUGUGAAGAUGAGACUUAAGCCAAUUUCAUUACAUGCCUUUCAUACUCGAGCUGUUUACCUUCCUCCAGCAACUGGUGAUUAUUCAUUGCUUUUCUUGGGCUUCUUCCUUUAUACUUUCUAUUUUUUCUGCUGUUAAAUAUUUUGGGAUUUCUCACUGCUGGUAAAUCUGCUCUUUUAGCCGUUGCUCAAACACUGCCUUUUGUCCCCUGCCCCACUUCUCAUAUCUUGAGAAAGCAAAGUAGUGCAAGAUGUUUUUCUUCUCAACAGACAAAUUUACAGUGUUGUAGUUUGGAUAAUUUCUUUGGCCAUUUGAGGUUGCUGUUCAUGGGGUCCAGCAUCAGUACGUUGGUGGUCUGAUGGGUUAUACAGCUCAGUGCUGGCACAGGAGAGACGUAUGAAUUCUCAUGUGCGUGUUCAGGUUGCUCUUACGUCCAAAUUUCUGACCACAUUCUGAACAGCCAAAUGGUUUUUGUCCUGUAUGAAUUAUCAUGUGUUCAUUCAGGUGGCUCUUAUGUCUAAAUUUUUGACCACACUCAGAACAUUCAAAUGGCUUUUGUCCUGUAUGAAUUAUCAUGUGUCUGUUCAGAGUGCCCUUAUCUCUAAAUCUUUGACCACACUCAGAACAGCCAAAUGGUUUUUGUCCCGUAUGAAUUAUUGUGUGUUUGUUCAGAGUGCUCUUAUCUCCAAAUCUUUGACCACACUCAGAACAGCCAAAUGGCUUUUGUCCAGUAUGAACUGUCAUGUGUGUGUCCAGGUAGCUCUUUCUGACAAAUCUUCGACCACACUCAGAACAGCCAAACUGUUGUUGUCCUGUAUGAAUUAUUGUGUGUUCCUUCAGACUGCUCUUAUGUCCAAAUCGUUGACCACACUCAGAACAGCCAAAUGGUUUUUCCCCUGUAUGAAUUAUCAUGUGUCUUUUCAGGUGGUUCUUUUGUCCAAAUCUUCGACCACAUUGAGAACAG